rnacentral:rRNA from 1 species
UACGUAGGGGGCAAGCGUUGUCCGGAAUUACUGGGUGUAAAGGGUGUGCAGGCGUCCUUUUAAGUUGGUUGUGAAAACCCGGAGCUCAACUCCGGAACUGCAGCCAAUACUGAAAGGAUCGAGGGUAUGAGAAGGAAGCGGAAUUCUCGGUGUAGCGGUGAAAUGCGUAGAUAUCGAGAGGAACACCUGCGGCGAAAGCGGCUUCCUAACAUACUUCUGACGCUCAUACACGAAAGCUAGGGGAGCAAACAGG